AUGUCACUCAUAUUACUGUUGCUCCUCUCUGCAUGUGUAGGUGAUAGUAUGGAGCAGGAAACAAUAACUCCAGUGAAGUCUGAAGUCAAUGUCCUCCAAGGAACAGACAUCACUCUCUCCUGCAACUACAAGGGCAACAUUAUCAACCUACAAUGGUACCGUCAAUACCCCGGAUACAGACCAGAAUGUCUUCUUUGGAUCCUACAAACCAACAAAUAUGUACAGAAUACAUCCAUUACGACUCCACGACACACUGGUAGACUGAAUGAAGAGAAGACCCGUGUGGACUUGAUGAUCUCCUCUGUUGAAUUGGAAGACUCUGCUCUGUACCACUGCGCCUUGCAGCCCACAGUGACAGGAAACCCAGACACACUGUACAAAAACCUGACAACAUAUACUGUAGAAAGAAAGCCAUAA